AAAGGAAUAGACGGGGGCCCGCACAAGCAGCGGAGCAUGUUGCUUAAUUCGAGGCAACGCGAAGAACCUUACCUGGGUUUGACAUGUAGAGAAAAGCCGUAGAGAUACGGUGUCCUUCGGGGCUCUACACAGGUGGUGCAUGGUUGUCGUCAGCUCGUGUCGUGAGAUGUUGGGUUAAGUCCCGCAACGAGCGCAACCCUUGUCCUAUGUUGCCAGCACGUAAUGGUGGGGACUCGUAGGAGACUGCCGGGGUCAACUCGGAGGAAGGUGGGGACGAGGUCAAAUCAUCAUGCCCCUUAUGUCCAGGGCUGCAAACAUGCUACAAUGGCCGGUACAACGGGCUGCGAGACCGCGAGGUUUAGCGAAUCCCACAAAGCCGGUCUAAGUUCGGAUUGGAGUCUGCAACUCGACUCCAUGAAGCUGGAGUUGCUAGUAAUCCCGGAUCAGCAACGCCGGGGUGAAUACGUUCCCGGGCCUUGUACACACCGCCCGU
rnacentral:rRNA from 1 species